rnacentral:lncRNA from 12 species
AAAAAUGUGUAAAAUUACCUUUUCUUCACGAGAAAAAAAACAGAUGCAUCCUUAAAGCCACAGUGAGCUUUAUUGGAAGUGCAGCAAUCCAAGAAAAGAACAAAGAAACUCAACUUGAAGUAUGGUUUCCACAAGAGCCAAGGCACAAUCUUCAAGGAACAACGUGGCAACAUCCCUUAGAUGAACAGUUCGUGAAAAUUCAGGAACCUGCCAUCACAAGGCCACAAUCCUCAUAUGAUUUCAGAAGUUUGUGAUGAAAAUUUAGGAUCUUCCACUGCAAGCUCAGCCACAACUUUUGGACUUUAAUAAAAAUCAAUAGCUCAUGGGGAAUUCAAUCAGACAGAAUUGCUUUGAACACCUCCAGUUUGAGUCUUCACGUUUAAACUUAUGCUGAGAUACAGC